GGCGGCAUAGCUCAGCUGGUCAGAGCGCUCGCCUCACACGCGAGAGGUCACUGGUUCGAUCCCAGUUGUCUCCA
rnacentral:tRNA from 1 species